rnacentral:rRNA from 1 species
CGAAAGACAGUGAUGCAGAGCAAAUCCCCAAAAGACAGUCUUAGUUCGGAUUGUAGGCUGCAACUCGCCUACAUGAAGUCGGAAUUGCUAGUAAUCGCGGAUCAGCAUGCCGCGGUGAAUACGUUCCCGGGCCUUGUACACACCGCCCGUCACACCAUGGGAGUCGGUAACACCCGAAGCCUGUAGUCUAACCGCAAGGAGGACGCAGUCGAAGGUGGGAUUGAUGACUGGGGUGAAGUCGUAACAAGGUACC